UGACUUAUUAUUGUGAAUAAAUCAGUUAUGUACUGUGAUCGUUAUAAGACUAGGAUAAUAAAUUUUAUGAGCGUUGAAAGCAAACAAGCCGUGACUCUAGGAGUUCACGGCUUGUUUAUAGGCGUU
rnacentral:misc_RNA from 1 species